rnacentral:rRNA from 1 species
GAUGAACGCUGGCGGCGUGCCUAACACAUGCAAGUUCGAGCGGCAGCGAGGGGCGCUUCGCACCCCGUCGGCGAGCGGCGGACGGCUGAGUAACGCGUGGGAACGUCGCCCCAAAGUGAGGAAUAACUGCCCGAAAGGGUAGCUAAUACCGCAUAUUAUCUUCGGAUCAAAGGAUUUAUCCGCUUUGGGAGCGGCCCGCGUCGGAUUAGGUAGUUGGUGAGGUAAUGGCUCACCAAGCCGACGAUCCGUAGCUGGUCUGAGAGGAUGACCAGCCAGACUGGAACUGAGACACGGUCCAGACUCCUACGGGAGGCAGCAGUGAGGAAUCUUCCACAAUGGGCGAAAGCCUGAUGGAGCAACGCCGCGUGCAGGACGAAGGCCUUCGGGUUGUAAACUGCUUUUAUAAGUGAGGAAUAUGACGGUAACUUAUGAAUAAGGAUCGGCUAACUACGUGCCAGCAGCCGCGAUCAUACGUAGGAUCCGAGCGUUAUCCGGAGUGACUGGGCGUAAAGAGUUGCGUAGGCGGUUGUAUAAGUGAAUAGUGAAAUCUGGUGGCUCAACCAUACAGGCUAUUGUUCAAACUGUACAACUCGAGAGUGGUAGAGGUCACUGGAAUUUCUUGUGUAGGAGUGAAAUCCGUAGAUAUAAGAAGGAACACCGAUGGCGUAGGCAGGUGACUGGACCAUUUCUGACGCUAAGGCACGAAAGCGUGGGGAGCGAACCGGAUUAGAUACCCGGGUAGUCCACGCCGUAAACGAUGGAUACUGGCUGUUGGAGGUAUCGACCCCUUCAGUAGCGAAGCUAACGCGUUAAGUAUCCCGCCUGUGGAGUACGGCCGCAAGGCUAAAACAUAAAGGAAUUGACGGGGACCCGCACAAGCGGUGGAUCGUGUUCUUUAAUUCGAUGCUAAACGAAGAACCUUACCAGGGCUUGACAUCCAGGGAAUUUUUGGGAAACCAAUUAGUGCCGUUUGGAACCCUGUGACAGGUGAUGCAUGGCCGUCGUCAGCUCGUGUCGUGAGAUGUUUGGUUAAGUCCAUCAACGAGCGCAACCCUUGUGUCUAGUUGUAUUUUUCUAGACAGACUGCUUCGGUAACGGAGAGGAAGGAGGGGAUGAUGUCAGGUCAGUAUUUCCCUUACGUCCUGGGCUAGAAACACGAUACAAUGGCUAGUACAAUGCGCAGCGAAGCCGCGAGGUGAAGCAAAUCGCAUCAAAGCUAGUCCCAGUUCGGAUUGGAGGCUGAAACUCGCCUCCAUGAAGUCGGAAUCGCUAGUAAUCGCAAAUCAGCAAGUUGCGGUGAAUACGUUCCCGGGUCU